CACCUGUGCCUUUGGACGCCUGUUUCACCGUUUUGUCAUUUUUUGUUUUGGUUUCUUUUCUCCAGCAAAGAUCAACUCAUUCCAAUUACAUCGAAUCAUUAAAAAAAGGUUACUUUGCUCAUCAUGAUCGUUUUUCGUUGUUUCAGGCGAGUUUAAAAUUUCUACCUGGGAUACGAAUGAAAACUGUCCAAGCAGCAUGUUCAGGUGCCGUCAGUGUCCAACUCGGACGUGUGGGAAUGUUGGCAAUGUUUUUCUUAUUCACAUCAACUGAUUCUAACUAUUUGAUAUGACGUCUUUAUCACAGUUAACACAAACUGUGAUGAAUGGUAGUUUGUUACAAUCGCAGUGACUCCUCCACUUUAUUCCAAUCAUCCAACCGCGGUGACGCAUCGAUUCUGGAGCGCUGUCCUUCUUGUUGCCAGGAAAACGUAACACGUCAAUCACGUUGUGUUACUUUGGCAGUGCCAGCUGUGGGGUUUGAAACCAGUCACUUCACUCAGCACUGGAUGCAGAUCUCAGCCUGGCAGUGUUGCAUUGUGGGAGGGGAAACUGGUGGAAGUCUUUGAGAGGGAUGCAGGAAGCAGAAGUAGAUGACGCCUCGCGACGAUACCUUUAGCAACAUAGUCCUAUAAGUUCUUUCCUACAAACAGUUACAUUUAACAAUCACAAACAUAUAAAUGUUACUGUUAUCAGGAUUCUCACUACAGUGCUCAUCCAUCAUCGAUGAAAUUAUGGAUUCAUGGAAAAACUGACUGUGUUUUCUUCCACGUCACACAGACCCACAAACCCUGCACAGGUCAUGUUCUCCUUUUUGUUUCUUUACGCUCUAAAGUCGAUUGUCUGAUGUCUUCAAAAUUGGAUUUUGUGCCCAUUCUGCAGAUUUCUGUUACGAUCGUCUUUUUUAACACGCGUCGAUUCAUGUCCAGAUUCUGCCUUGGAUCACCUUCACCUCUACAGAGAGACUUUAGCUGCGCUGUAUCUUAUUUGAGAUGCUUUUAGAGGCGAACAGGGUCUCUGCUAGUUAACCCCAACCCUUCCUCGACUGACCAAGUUAACUUCCCCUCAUGCUUAACCAGCUCAUGUUGCAGCGUGUAAAUUGUUUUCCUUGUUUGAUUUUAAGGAAUCUUUCAGCCAUGCUUGGUAAACGAUAAAUGGGCUGAUGCUGUUUUAUUCUACCUGAGCUUUAUACAACAACAUGUUUAUGCCAGUUUACUACAAAACAGGCUGAUCAUCAGUCCAACAAAGACUCACACAGUUUUAUUCUAAAGUCUGCAAACCUCACUGACUCUCUUUGUGUUCAGCUAACUCUGCUGCUUUUGUGCUUUGACUUCAUAGCCAACCUUUAGCUUGUCAGUGCAAAGCACUUUCCUGCAUCAGCUUUAUUUAGCCCCUCUGUUUCCCCAGCGUGUCCACAAUAUGGCAAAAAAAUCAGAGUUACUGAAAGCACCUGGAGCGAAUCGGUGAUAAACCUUUAGAGUGUCCAGCCUGUAAAUGCACAUUGUGUGACAGCUGUAGGACACGGCGAGUUCUCACAUCAGUUUCCUGUAAUAAGCUUGGAGAACUUGUCUUGUGGUUUUACUGUUUUUCUAAAAGUAGCUCUAACGUAAGAAGGGAGAACAUACAGCAACUGUCAGGAUAAAAGAGAAUAAACUACCUGCAUGUGUGACAAAUUCCAAAGUUGAACCUUUUCUGGAAAAGCGAGAGGUGCAACGUGACCCGAAGUAUUUGGUGACCACGGAGGCAGAAAGAGACAGAAGUGUGUGUGUUGGGCUCUUGGUUGUAUUUUGGGAAAAACAAAUGAGAAUCUAUUUUUUUUUUUACUUUGUAUAAGCACCAUGAUGUAAUGUAAUUACCUCAAUCAAAACCUAUUUUACUGUCUAAAGUUCUAUUGUUGUAAAAUACAAAUAUUUUAUGUAGUGUAAAACCUUACAGUUUUAUAAAAAGGAAAGUAAUAUUGGUUCAGAAAUUGUUGGUAUAAAUUUUGGAUUUCUGCUCCAGCGGUUCAAAGUGUUUGGUUUUAUCUCUGAGGGCAUUUUUUGCUUUGUAUGUGCGAACCCAGGAGGAGGAGGAGGAGGAGGAGGAGCGGCGGCGUCAGCCCGUCAGCUCCGUGUGGAUCCUUGACUCUGGUCUGUGAGACGUCCUCUGCCAUUGUUCAUUUCAGUUAGACGCUUUCAUUUAUGUAGGGGAUUGUAGUUUGAGGGGCUUGUGUCAUAUUAUAGCCAGCUUUGUAAUGAAUACACACAAAAUGUGUACUAAACAAAAGGUGAAAUCUGAAAACAUUUCACGUGUUUCUUUUAAUUGGUUUGUUGAAAGGCUCAUUUUCUGUAAAUAAUUCUGAUUAAAUUAAUUUAAAGUGUUC
ensembl:lncRNA